rnacentral:lncRNA from 1 species
AAUCAGUCUAAAUUACGUUGCCGUUGCAUCAUUUUUUUUCGUUUUGAUUGGGCAGCCAUCAGUGAAGAGUUGGCAUGCCACAGCCAUAAAUAAAGACUGUUGUUUAAGCGGGCGAUGUAAUUUUGUAAUUUAAUAAUUUUCCCCUUAUUUCGUCACAAAUUACCGUCGGAAAGCAUGCUAAGCUACUUUAGUUUGUUCGCGUCCUUACUGGGUAUCAGAAUGGUAUUUUAUGAAAAUUUUCGAAAAUCUGUGCGCGUUUCAACAGUGUCCUGUUCGUACUGGUUGAAUGUUCCAGUUUGGAUCAACCCGAUCAUUUUUCACGGCGUUAAUUGUUGGGGCAUCUAGAAUGCUACUGCGAAGCCUUAGGAUUAGUCCCGGCAAUUUAUAUUUAGGUUUGAACUAACAGUUUGUCUCCGAUUGGUCGAGCCAGGCCACGCCCGCAACUCGAACACCCACAUGGUAGUACUUGCUUGCGGUCAACUUUCUGACGGAUUCUUCAGAUGUUUCAGUUUGUAAUCAACAUGAAAUUUUUGCAUGCUUGACUACAACAGUCUUGUAUUAUUACAAAUUUUAUUGUAAAAUAUUAAUCGACUACAAUUCGGUCGAUAAAUUUGGAGCUCAAAUGGGUUACAGCAGAGUCCACGCGGCGCCAUUGAAACUGAUGAGUUUUUCGGGCUUUUAGAACGCUGUGCAAAAAAAUUCUUCCGGUGGUUUGCUGGACGCAGCACCAAUCUGAUGAUGUUCGCCAUUUGUGCUUGCGAAACGUCAGGAAGAAAUUAUCUUCCAUGGCGGACUAAGAGCCCGAGAAACGCACCAGACUCUAAAUUAACAUUCUAAAAUUUUUGUUUACUCCUAAACGUGUCUAGAAUAUUAUUUGUCAUUUAGUCAGUGUUUUAUGUGUAAAAAAUCGCUAAAAACUGUAGCAAAUUGGUCUGUUUUCACUUAGACUUCUCCAAGUGCUAUUGUUAAUCUUUCGUUAGAAGUUUUUGUUCAAUAAAGCGUUUUAUUAGAGAA